rnacentral:rRNA from 1 species
GACAGAGGGUGCAACCGUUGUUCGGAUUUACUGGGCGUAAAGCGCGUGUAGGCGGCUUCGCAAGUUGGAUGUGAAAGCCCACGGCUCAACCGUGGAAGCGCAUCCAAAACUGCGUCGCUAGAGUCUCGGAGAGGAAGGUGGAAUGCUUGGUGUAGAGGUGAAAUUCGUAGAUAUCAAGCAGAACACCUGCGGCGAAGGCGGCCUUCUGGACGAUGACUGACGCUGAGACGCGAAAGCGUGGGGAGCAAACAGG